CUUCCAACNUGUGNAUGAGUACCGGACCUGGGAAGGUGAUCGGCCACACUNNGNNUNAGACACGGCCCAGACUCCUACGGGAGGCAGCAGUAGGGAAUCUUCCGCAAUGGACGCAAGUCUGACGGAGCAACGCCGCGUGAGUGAUGAAGGUUUUCGGAUCGUAAAGCUCUGUUGCCAGGGAAGAACGCCUAGGAGAGUAACUGCUCUUAGGGUGACGGUACCUGAGAAGAAAGCCCCGGCUAACUACGUGCCAGCAGCCGCGGUAAUACGUAGGGGGCAAGCGUUGUCCGGAAUUAUUGGGCGUAAAGCGCGCGCAGGCGGUCAUUUAAGUUUGGUGUUUAAGCCCGGGGCUCAACCCCGGAUCGCACUGAAAACUGGGUGACUUGAGUGCGGGAGAGGAAAGUGGAAUUCCACGUGUAGCGGUGAAAUGCGUAGAGAUGUGGAGGAACACCAGUGGCGAAGGCGA
rnacentral:rRNA from 1 species